rnacentral:rRNA from 1 species
AUUGCAGUCUGCAACUCGAGUGCAUGAAGCUGGAAUCGCUAGUAAUCGCGGAUCAGAAUGCCGCGGUGAAUACGUUCCCGAGUCUUGUACACACCGCCCGUCACACCAUGGGAGUCGGGAAUGCCCGAAGCCGGUGGCCCAAUCGAAAGAAGGGAGCCGUCGAAGGCAGGCCGGAUGACUGGGGUGAAGUCGUAACAAGGUAGC